rnacentral:misc_RNA from 1 species
GAUACUAAGUUAAAAUUCUGCCCAGUGUAGUAGGAACUUAAUCACUCUAUAGUUCAGGUACCUGAUUGACUAGAAUUUCAUGCAAAAGAGAAUCCAAAGGCAGCAAAGAACGGUAAAGAAAAAUAUAAAUGGUAAAGCUCUGUAGACUAAGAGGCCAAUUGGGAUUGUGGUUGUGAGGGCAAAAAAGUGUUUUUGAAACCGCACCAUUUUAUAUAUUGUUGAAAAAAGCAAUUUGAAAGAAGUUACUUAGUUGUUUUUGAGUUCUUAUAA